CGUUGCUUAGUAACGGGACGCCUGGCAACAACAAGCAGUCUGAGCGGAGGCUGUACAGACGGGAUAUGGAGGCGGACGGCUGCAGAGACGGAUGGGAUCUGGAGGCGGCAGGCCCAGUGUAGAGAGGUCCUUGCUACACAGAUGGCUGCAUCGAGACACUGGCUCCCUUAAGUCCUUGUGAAAGCUCCGGCAGGGUUUAGCCCUGCACAACACAGGCAUGGACUUCUAGUUAAGUCUUGAUGUCUGGCUAUCACCUAUAAUAGCUUAUUCUACAACAAUAUAAAUGACGUACCGUUCUGUAGUCCAGGCAGCAUGGAUGUCCUAUAACCUAAAGUUCCGCAAGAAAAAAAAAAUUCCAAUGGAGAGUACCAAAGAAUAUGUUGGCCACACUAACACUGGCACAAUCUCAGAAGAGACACAGAUGAAUAUACAUAGACCAGCAAUGAGGGACUUGGGUUGGACUGGAACCCUCACCAACAAAUUGUAAUUCCGGGAAUCCUGGCAGGUUGCAUUGUGCUGUAAAAACUAAUGUGGUUUUUAUGUGUCCAGCUUUCGUAUCUGCAAGCAAAUAUUUAGACACUG